UCCGUUUCCCCAAAUGUGAGCACCAGUAUCAUAUAUGUCAAAUGUUAGUCAGGCCAUAUUGUUCAAAGAAUCUGAACAUGUAUUAUAUGAAAGGUAUUAUAUAAUACAUGUUCAAAUUCUUUGCACAAUAUGACCUAACAUAUGACGUAUAUGAUACUGGUGUUCACCUUUGGAGAAACGGA